rnacentral:rRNA from 1 species
CCUACGGGAGGCAGCAGUGAGGAAUAUUGGUCAAUGGACGAGAGUCUGAACCAGCCAAGUAGCGUGAAGGAUGACGGCCCUAUGGGUUGUAAACUUCUUUUAUAUGGGAAUAAAAUGUUCCACGUGUGGGAUUUUGUAUGUACCAUAUGAAUAAGGAUCGGCUAACUCCGUGCCAGCAGCCGCGGUAAUACGGAGGAUCCGAGCGUUAUCCGGAUUUAUUGGGUUUAAAGGGAGCGUAGGUGGUUUGUUAAGUCAGUUGUGAAAGUUUGCGGCUCAACCGUAAGAUUGCAGUUGAAACUGGCAGUCUUGAGUACAGUAGAGGUGGGCGGAAUUCGUGGUGUAGCGGUGAAAUGCUUAGAUAUCACGAAGAACUCCGAUUGCGAAGGCAGUUCACUGGACUGCAACUGACACUGAGGCUCGAAAGUGUGGGUAUCAAACAGGAUUAGAUACCCGAGUAGUC